rnacentral:rRNA from 1 species
CAAUAGCGUAUAUUAAAGUUGUUGCGGUUAAAAAGCUCGUAGUUGGACUUGUACGAAGGUUCGUUGGUCCGCCCUUUGGGUGUGUACUUUACGGUGUCCGUCGUCUCUCUGGAGAACGUUGCCAUGCUCACGCGUGGUGCGGUAUCCGGAGCAUUUACUUUGAGGAAAUUAGAGUGUUCUCGGCAGGCAUUUGCCUUGAAUAUGUUAGCAUGGAAUAAUGCGAAAAGGCCUCGGUUUUUCUUGUUGGUUUCUAACCCCGAGGUGAUGAUUAAUAUGAGCUGUUGGGGGCAUCUGUAUUUAACUGUCAGAGGUGAAAUUCUUGGAUUUCACGAAAGACGAACAACUGCGAAAGCACUGCCAAGAGUGUUUUUCAUUAAUCAAGAACGAAAGUUAGAGGAUCGAAGAUGAUCAGAU